UGAAAGCUUUGAGCCCAAACCUUGUAUAAUGAAAGAGGAAAAAAUGCAAUACAAUUUCUUACAAAAUUAAUGUCAUACACAGCCAUUUAGGGCAUAAUUAAUGCCAUAAAUUACAAGCAUCAUUCAAUCCAUAUAUCUUCACACCCAUCUCGAAUAUUUUGACUUCCAGACUCACCGGCUAGUUCAUCAAAUGUGUCAACAUUUGGCAUCCCUCUAGUAAAUGGUUCACACUCAAUUCUCACAUCACCUAAGACAUCAUCACCAAUAACAUCAUUAUAUUCUCUAUUAGGCAUUGAUAA
rnacentral:lncRNA from 1 species